rnacentral:lncRNA from 1 species
CCAGCAAUUAAUCGAUGGACAAUUCAAAAUUAUAAUUUCUUAGGUUCCAGCAAUUUCCAUUGUCAUAUUUUAAUUAUUAAAAUACAGUAGCAAGAGUGGAGAGAGAAAAUUUUCCAGCAAUUAAUCGAUGGACAUAUUUGUAAUGUGUGUGAAUUUUGCAUAUCCUGGAGAAACAACGGUGGCGAGUACUCGGAGAUCCCCUCUGAAAAGGAUUUCUUUUCCAUUGUUAAGGCCAAUCGCUUUUGAAUCAAAGAAGAGGAAGAGAGAUCCGGAAGAAGAGGAAGAGAGAUUCGGACUUGGGAAGAGAGAGAAAAGCAGCAUAUCCAUUGAAGGGAGGAGGAAGAAAAAAUAUAUCCGAAAUUUGUGGAUAUAGAUCUGAUAUAUCUGCUCAUUCCUCCUUCAUCAUCUUCACUUUCUCUCUCAUCGAGUUGUUGGAAUUCUUUGGCGAAGAAGUCUG